rnacentral:rRNA from 1 species
GACGAACGCUGGCGGCGUGCUUAACACAUGCAAGUCGAACGGAAAGGCCCUGCUUUUGUGGGGUGCUCGAGUGGCGAACGGGUGAGUAACACGUGAGUAACCUGCCCUUGACUUUGGGAUAACUUCAGGAAACUGGGGCUAAUACCGGAUAGGAGCUCCUGCUGCAUGGUGGGGGUUGGAAAGUUUCGGCGGUUGGGGAUGGACUCGCGGCUUAUCGGCUUGUUGGUGGGGUAGUGGCUUACCAAGGCUUUGACGGGUAGCCGGCCUCAGAGGGUGACCGGCCACAUUGGGACUGAGAUACGGCCCAGACUCCUACGGGAGGCAGCAGUGGGGAAUAUUGCACAAUGGGCGGAAGCCUGAUGCAGCAACGCCGCGUGCGGGAUGACGGCCUUCGGGUUGUAAACCGCUUUCGCCUGUGACGAAGCGUGAGUGACGGUAAUGGGUAAAGAAGCACCGGCUAACUACGUG